UUUUUUCUUUUUCAUUUUUUUUUUUCUUGUGGGCAGUUAUUUGUUUCCUACCUAAUCUAAUUGCACACUUAACCACGAGUCGGUAUAAGCGUGGCAUAUGCGCAGCAUUUAUAGUGAUGCUGACUUUCAAAGACGGAUGUUACAAAGAAUAAGAAAAUAUAUUGUAGGGUUCCUGAAUUGACCUUAAAAUUUAACUGCUAAUAUAAGCAAAACAUUCUGUACUCUGUUGAUUCACAUUUCUGGAGUUAUUUUAAAACACUUUCUUAUUGUAAAACUCCUAUCUACCAGUGUUGUUCUACCUACCAUCAAUUCCUCUUUACAAUAGUACAAGAUCUAAACUUGCCUACACGUGACAGUGUAACAUCAAGCUCACAGCAUCCCAGAUAGAGCUCGGUAAAAUACAAACGGACG
rnacentral:misc_RNA from 1 species